AACACUGUUAACCUGCGGUACCUGCGGAGGGAUCAUUACCACACCCAAAAACAAACAGAAGUCUCUGAGGCUAGCUCCGGCUGCCGAAGGACUGAUGUUGACCCGUGAAACCCCGCGUCAGUGUUGGAGUAGUUGACUUCCUAGGGCACUUGUGCUCCGUUGGUCGCAGCGAAACAGCACGUCGCACCUUUUUUAACUCCGCUGGAGGUCGAACUCGCCUUCGGGCAUGCUGAGACCGAU
rnacentral:misc_RNA from 1 species